GUGAAAUUUGGUUAAUCAGUUUUAGAAUUUGGUGAAUCAUAGUUUAAUAAAUAAUUAACAAAAUGUGAAAAAAAUGACAGUUCUAUAAACAAUUACAAUUUACACACAUAUUUAACGUUACGCGACGUAAUGUUAUGUAACGUAGUAAAAUCUGUCAUACACGUACACAAAACCAACACACAUGAAACAAAAUCUGUCCCAAACAACGUCAAAAUUUUUGACAGCCCAUAAUUAAUUUCACAUUUUUUCCCGCGUUUCUUUCUAUUUAAACAAAAAAAGGAAAAGUUCUCUUAUUUAAUCGACAUGUAACUUUUAUGUACAUCCUAAAUAUACAUAUGUAUAUUUUUUGUUAAUUAUUCGUUCUCCUUUUAUGCUAAGUGCUAAAACCUACGGAACUUAUCCAUCGUUGGUUGUGUUAAAUGCAUUUAGGUGCUUCAGAAAAAAAGAGUCCAAUAGACUUAUAUAUUGGAAAAACAAAAAAGAAGAUUUUAAAUGAUGGCCAACAGAAUCAUUCAAUUACAUAUGUGCAAGCUAUCCUGGACUUUAGGCUGCAAGGGUUGAGUAAGUAGUAUUGCGAUAAGGUGAAUGAGCGUAUCAAGCAGAUGCCAGGCCAAAGAAGAUUAAUAUGAAAGUGCAACGAAACGAAAAAUCAACGACGUGCUCUAGUCUUAACAGUAAUCAAGCAAUUUGAUGAUCAAAAUACACUCAGAUGCUCUACAUCGCUGACAAUUUACCUAAUUUCCAUAUGUUCCAGAUGCGCCCCUCUGAUCUGAUUUAUCAAAUCUGUAAGCCACAUUCAAAGAAUGUCAAACCUGCUGAAAAUGCAGACUAUAUUCUUGAAGACCAUGAGGAAGAUCCACAUGUUUUCUUUAAACGUUUACCGAGGAUAUUGGCGACAUUUGGAAACGUAUAACGUCAGUGUGGGCGUGUAUACUGAAACAGUAUUUGAAAGAUAUGUACGCCGUACAGGCUGAGGAGACGGUAAAAUAUCAAAUAACACAAACAUUUUACAAAAAAUUGUUACGACGAAAACAGUGCAUAAUUUCAAUUGCAGAAAUUAAGGAAUUGGUCAUAAAAUCAAGUGAUGUCUGUUUAAAUCCAGAAGAUGAGAAAGAUUUAUUUAUAUGUAUGUAUGUUCUUUAUGAUAAAUGUAAAAGAAUUUAUUCUCUUUUAGUUUUUCAGUUUAAAAAACUUAUACAUAAGUUUGGUCCAGAUGAUGCAUAUCUGCUCUUGAUAAAGUAAAAAAUAAACAUGAUCAAGCUGGUGAGAGUAGUAUAGGAGCAAGAGCGGGCAGUGCGACAACGCCACAUGUAAAUAGUGUUAAUCAUACGAUGGUUUCAAGACCAUCCCAAAGCAAGGGUAGUCAAAGAAUGUUGUCUUUGUGAUUUGCUUUCACAAGUUAUUUUUUUUAUCGAUAGAAUGCAACAAAAAAUUCUUUCCUAUAAUCUUUCUAUUUUCUAUUCCUUCUGACUUGUGCCGUGCAGCAUGCAUUUAAAAGACCUUAGGUCCUACAAGCAUAUAGUCAAAAUUAUUAUUGUUAAUGCUCCUGGAGUCAGGUGCUUCUAUUAAUAAAGUACCUACAAAAAUUUAAUAUUAUUUUCAAAUGCAAAGUUUUCAACAUUUUAAUUCUUAUAGGUAUUUGACAAAAAUGUUUGUCAGAUCUAUGCUUAAACUAAUCAAAAUUGCACCUCCUUGCUAGCAUGCCUUCAUUACACGGCCAGUAAAACCCAGAUUUGUGAAAACAGUCAAAUAAUUAUGUUCUUUGUUCUGACAAUUUUGUUACAUAUGUAUUAUGUUUCUCUUGAAACUGUUCUGCUAUGUUAUAAUUUUUUUAGCGUGUCUAAUGCAAAAUUCUGCCAAUUACUUGUGUAUAUGUAUGUCUGUCUUCAAAUGGGUAGGAUUUUGCUAUCGGGUUUCAACUACCUUUUUUGUGAUCUACAAGUUUCAUCAGACAGAAUCGCAUAACAAUGUUUUCUUGUGUGAAUAUUAUUUUUUUUUUGUUUAUAUGGAAUCUUGCAAUCUAUUUUAAAGUAUAGCACUACCACAAAAUUUGUUAACCAAAAUGUAGGCUUACAUGUACGAUGUACCUACCUAAACCCAAAUAUACAAUUAUUAUCUUUGGAAUCGAUAUCUUAAGAUAUAAAAAAUAGUAAACAAAAACAAUACCGUCCCAUUGUAGCACUUUGCUUUUAUUUACCCCUAAAAAACUAAAAAAAAAACAUAAUCCCUACGAAUGUCGUAAGAGUAGUUACUUUUUUCUUGUUUUACACGUUAUAUCUCAUUGAAUGGUCCAGGGAAAAAACUGCAUUAGUCUAAUCAAACCCACUCCUAGAAAAACGCUAAAUUUUGAUUUGAUACAACUUAUAACUAAAGAUCCAUUUUUUUAAAUUAAACUGUAUUUUUUUUCAAGCUAACCAUAAGAUAUUACUCAAACACUAGGAGUUUAAUUUCCACAAAAAGUAAACAAAUGCAGUUUUAAACUUAGAGCCUCCUUCAAUUGUAUUUAUUAAAUCAUAGUCUUGCUACCCAAUAAAUGUUAUAAUUAUUUUAAUACAAUUUUUUUUUUUCAGAGAAUCAUUGGAUAGUAGCAGUGGAAAAAUUGCACCCAGCAUAGGCUUUGGAACGCCAACAUUACAGAACAAAUGAAUCAGAAACAACUAUUGGAAAAUUGACCCAAUGAAUAAUAAUAAUUAGUUUUUAACAAGUCUUGUUAUUUAAUUAAACAAUUUCGCGGAAAAUUGAUGAACAAAAAACAAUUUUGAAGAACAUAGGUACCUUUUGUUUUGAUCUGGAUUUGUUUUUAUGUCAAAACUGUUCUUACUUUGGUUCGAUAUAUAAAUAUAUUUAUCAAUAUAUAAAUGUUCAAUAAAUCAAUAGUAUAAUAGUAUCUGGUUAAUAAUGAAAAUGACUUUUUUUAAGUUUUGAGAAUCACUUUGAAAAUUAACACCACACAAACUAACAAGUUAUUCUUUAGAAAUCUCGAAUAAACAUUAUAUAUUAUUUAAUGUUAUCA